UAAACAUUUUACAACUAUAUAGUAAUUGAACAUAAUAAUUUUUUAUGUAUUUUUUGGUUUUAGUUCUUUUAUAUUAUCACUUCAAAUAUUCAUAUUUCGUGUGACGAAUCACAUUGAAAUAUAUUGCAAAAUAUUCCUGUAACAACAUGGGGGGUAUCAUCUAGUAUUUCAAACAGGUAGGUACUACAAACUAAAUAUCUAAAUAGCUAGCAUUAACUUACUAUUUCUAUCAACAUCCAAGCAUGUCACAUCAUCCCGCAACAUGCAUCAGAAAAGGCCCAUCCCCACUAUCAUAUGUCUCUCAACAUGUAAACAUGUCAUUUCAUCACUAAACAUGCGUUGAAAAAAGACUCAUAUCAACAUGCAAACAUACAUAAUAAUUUCCAUUAUAAUAUGCUAUUCAUAUUAAUAAAUAUUUUAUAAUUAUAUAGUGAUUAAUCAAAUAAAUUAUAUGUAUUUUGAGUUUUUACUUUUUAUAUUUUUAUUUCAAGUAUUAAUGUUUCAUACGAUGAACCACAUUGAAAUAUGUUGUAAGAUAUUCCUGCAAUAACAUGUGGGGUAUCAUCUAGUAUUAAGAAAGAGAUGGGUAAAGAAGCUUNNNN
rnacentral:lncRNA from 1 species